rnacentral:lncRNA from 1 species
AAAUUUGCAGCCUGGCCAUGUGGUAGAACAAAAAGCCCAUUUUCAGGAAAGAAAUUCAAGCAAGCUGCAGAAACUUGCUUAACUAAAAGGAAGGCAAAUGCUGAUAGCCAAGAAAAUGAGGGAUACCCUCCAGGGCAUUUCAGAGACCUUUGUGGCAGCUCCUCCCAUCACAGGCUCAGAGGACAACGAAGGAAGAAUGGGACACUACUACAUGCAUCUCAUCUGUUGCAGCUCUAGCCAUGGCUCCAAGUGGCCCAGGUACAGUUCAGGAUGCUGCUCCAGAGGGUUCAAGCCAUAAGUCUUGAUGGCUUCCAUGUGGCAUUAAGCCUGAGGGUGCACAGAGUACAAGAGUUGAGACUAGAUUUCAGAGAAUGUAUGAACAAACGUAGAUGUACAAUCAGAAAUCUGCUGCAGGGUCAGAGCCCUGAUGGAGAAUCUCUAUGAGGGCACUGAAGAGGGGAAAGGUGGGGUUGGAGCCACCACACAGUGUCCCUACUGGACAACUAUCUAGGGGAGCUAUGAGAAGACGGACACUAUCUUCCAGACCCCAGAAUGGUAGAUCCACCAGCACUUGUACCGUGUGCCUGGAACUGGUGCAAGCACUCAACACCAGCCCUUGAGAGCAGCUGUAGGAGCUGAACCCUGCAAAGUCACAGGAGUGGAGCAGCACAAGGCUUUGGGAGCUCAAUCCUUGCAGUGGUAUGCCCUGGAUGGCAUCAAAGGAGAUUGUUAAGCUUUAAGACUUAAUAACUUUCCUACUGGGUUUCAGACUUGCAUGGGGCCCGUAGCCCCUUACUUUUGGCCAAUUUCUCCCUUUUGAAAUGGGAGUAUUUACCCAAUCCCUGUACCCCCAUUAUACAUUAUAUCUUGGGAGUUUUUUUUUAUUUUAAUUUUACAGGGUCUUAGGCAGAAGGGGCUUGCCUCAUCUCAGAUAAGACUUUAGACUUUGGAUGUUUGAGUUAAUGCUGAAGUGAGUUAAGACUUUGGGGGACUGAUGGGAAGGCAUGAUUAUAUUUUGCAAACUGAGAAAGACAUAAAAUUUGGGAGGGACUAGGGCAAAAUAAUAUGGUUUGGAUCUAUGUCCCCAACCAAAUCUCAUGUCAAAUUGUAAUACCCAGUGUUGGAGGUGGGGCCUGAUGGGAGGUUAUUGGAUUGUGGAGUGGUUUCUUUUUAAUGGUUUAAUACCAUUUCCUUGGUGCUAUUCUUAUGAUAGUGAGUGAGUGAGUUAUUAGGAAAUCUGGUUGUUAAAAGGGUGUAGCACCUCCCCACCUCUCACUUUUCUUCCUGCUCCCAGCUAUAUGAAGCACCAGCUCCCUCUUCAUUUUCCCACCAUGGUUAUACAUUUCAUGAGGCCUCCCCAGAUGCCCGGCAGAUGCAACAUUCUUUCUGUACAGCAUGCAGAACUGUGAGUCAGUUAGACCUCUUUUCUUUAUAAAUUACCCAAUCUCAGGUAUUUCUUUAUAGCAAUGCAAUAAUGGACUAAUACACACCUAAUAAUAUUAUUUCCUUGAAUCACACAAUCAAUUACCAAAAUCCUCUGUGUGAAAUGGCUGGCUUCCUUUUAUUGGUGGUUAACUGCUAAUUAAACAACACUUUUGGCGUUUCAAUUUUGUUGUUAUUAUUGUUCAAAGCUUGUACAAAGCCUCCAUCAAGUAGUGCAAUUCUCCAGCUUCUGUCACUCCUGGACAACAUUUGUAUUUAAAAAUACCUUUCAGCCAGGUGACACACACCUGUUGUCCCAGCUACUCAGGAUGCUGAGGCGGGAGGAACACUUGAGCCCAGGAGUUCUGGGUUGUAUGCACUAUGCUGAUGAAGUGUCUGCACUAAGUUUGGCAUCAAUAUGUUAGCUUCCAGGGAGCAGAGGACCACCAGGUUUCCUAAGGAGUGGUCAACUCAAAAAUUGAGCAGAAUAAAACUCCUCUGCUUAUCAGUAGUGGGAUGACCCCUUUGAAUAGUCACUGCACUACAACCUGGGCCACAUAGUGAGACCCUAUUUCUUAACAAAAAAAAGAAAGAAAUACCUUCCAUAUUUCUGCAAGUAUGUGAGUUAUCUUUGAUGUAGUGUUACCUUUUCGCAGUGAAUGAAGUGUAAUAACCUCUUGCUCAUUUUGUUUACAAAAAUAAAUAAAUAAAUAAAAGCAGGGACAUUCUAAGUGGAAUCAAGUUCUAAGUAAUCCAGACAUAAUACUAUUUAUAGAAUAAUUCAAUUUUUAUGAUAUAUUUCAUGUUUUGCUAUCCUCAGUUAUAUUUACUCACAUAUAGUUACACUUGUCAAUGUCCUAGCUAUAAUCACCUAUUUUUAGAUUUUAAUAAAUAUAAUUAAAUUAAUAGCAUUUCUAUUUUUAUAACAAGUUCUAAAAUUAAGCCACAGUUGAAAAU